GCCUUCUUGGUGUAACGGUAGCACACUCGAAUCCCAUUCAAGAGGUCCAGGCUCAAAUCCAAGCGAAGGCA
rnacentral:tRNA from 1 species